GAUAAACGCUGGCGGCGUGCCUUAUGCAUGCAAGUCGAACGAGACCAAGGCUUCGGCCUGAAGUCUAGUGGCGGACGGGUGAGUAACACGUACGUGACCUGUCCGGAAGUGGGGAAUAACCAGCCGAAAGGUUGGCUAAUACCGCAUGUGGUUACUGCUUGGAAGCAGCAAACCAAAGUCGCAAGACGCUUCCGGAGGGGCGUGCGGCCGAUUAGCUAGUUGGUGUGGUAACGGCGCACCAAGGCAUUGAUCGGUAGCUGGUCUGAGAGGACGGUCAGCCACACUGGGACUGAGACACGGCCUAGACUCCUACGGGAGGCAGCAGCAGGGAAUUUGCGCAAUGGGCGAAAGCCUGACGCAGCAACGCCGCGUGAGGGAUGAAGGCUCUUGGGUCGUAAACCUCUUUUGCCGGGGAAGAUAAUGACGGUACCCGGCGAAUAAGCCACGGCUAACUACGUGCCAGCAGCCGCGGUAAUACGUAGGUGGCAAGCGUUGUCCGGAGUUU
rnacentral:rRNA from 1 species